rnacentral:rRNA from 1 species
GCAGUGGGUACGGGCAGACUAGAGUGCGGUAGGGGAGACUGGAAUUCCUGGUGUAGCGGUGGAAUGCGCAGAUAUCAGGAGGAACACCGGUGGCGAAGGCGGGUCUCUGGGCCGUUACUGACGCUGAGGAGCGAAAGCAUGGGGAGCGAACAGGAUUAGAUACCCUGGUAGUCCAUGCCGUAAACGUUGGGCACUAGGUGUGGGGUCCAUUCCACGGGUUCCGCGCCGCAGCUAACGCAUUAAGUGCCCCGCCUGGGGAGUACGGCCGCAAGGCUAAAACUCAAAGGAAUUGACGGGGGCCCGCACAAGCGGCGGAGCAUGCGGAUUAAUUCGAUGCAACGCGAAGAACCUUACCAAGGCUUGACAUACACCGGAAACAUCCAGAGAUGGGUGCCCCGCAAGGUCGGUGUACAGGUGGUGCAUGGUUGUCGUCAGCUCGUGUCGUGAGAUGUUGGGUUAAGUCCCGCAACGAGCGCAACCCUUGUCCUGUGUUGCCAGCGGAUAAUGCCGGGGACUCGCGGGAGACUGCCGGGGUCAACUCGGAGGAAGGUGGGGAUGACGUCAAAUCAUCAUGCCCCUUAUGUCUUGGGCUUCACGCAUGCUACAAUGGCCGGUACAAAGGGUGGCGAUGCCGUAAGGUGGAGCGAAUCCCAAAAAGCCGGUCUCAGUUCGGAUUGGGGUCUGCAACUCGACCCCAUGAAGUCGGAGUCGCUAGUAAUCGCAGAUCAGCAACGCUGCGGUGAAUACGUUCUCGGGCCUUGUACACACCGCCCGUCACGUCACGAAAGUCGG